CAAAGAUUAAGCCAUGCAUGUGAGGGAUC
rnacentral:rRNA from 1 species